rnacentral:rRNA from 1 species
GAUGAACGCUGGCGGCGUGCCUAAUACAUGCAAGUCGAGCGAACAGACGAGGAGCUUGCUCCUUCGACGUUAGCGGCGGACGGGUGAGUAACACGUAGGUAACCUACCUAUAAGACUGGGAUAACUUCGGGAAACCGGAGCUAAUACCGGAUAAUAUUUCGAACCGCAUGGUUCGAUAGUGAAAGAUGGCUUUGCUAUCACUUAUAGAUGGACCUGCGCCGUAUUAGCUAGUUGGUAAGGUAACGGCUUACCGAGGCAACGAUACGUAGCCGACCUGAGAGGGUGAUCGGCCACACUGGAACUGAGACACGGUCCAGACUCCUACGGGAGGCAGCAGUAGGGAAUCUUCCGCAAUGGGCGAAAGCCUGACGGAGCAACGCCGCGUGAGUGAUGAAGGUCUUCGGAUCGUAAAACUCUGUUAUUAGGGAAGAACAAACGUGUAAGUAACUGUGCACGUCUUGACGGUACCUAAUCAGAAAGCCACGGCUAACUACGUA